rnacentral:rRNA from 1 species
ACGAACGCUGGCGGCAUGCCUAACACAUGCAAGUCGAACGAGACCUUCGGGUCUAGUGGCGCACGGGUGCGUAACGCGUGGGAACCUGCCCUUAGGUUCGGAAUAACUCCCCGAAAGGGGUGCUAAUACCGGAUAAUGUCUUCGGACCAAAGAUUUAUCGCCUUUGGAUGGGCCCGCGUUGGAUUAGCUAGUUGGUAGGGUAAAAGCCUACCAAGGCGACGAUCCAUAGCUGGUCUGAGAGGAUGAUCAGCCACACUGGGACUGAGACACGGCCCAGACUCCUACGGGAGGCAGCAGUGGGGAAUAUUGGACAAUGGGCGAAAGCCUGAUCCAGCAAUGCCGCGUGAGUGAUGAAGGCCUUAGGGUUGUAAAGCUCUUUUACCCGGGAUGAUAAUGACAGUACCGGGAGAAUAAGCCCCGGCUAACUCCGUG